rnacentral:rRNA from 1 species
GAUUUCUGGCUUGAAACCUUUGGUCGGCCGCGGUUUCGCGUGCACGUGCUGGAGGUUCUGGCCAUCCUUCCAGUCAUCGUUCGUCUAUUCUUCAUUGAAUGGAAAGCGGGAUUGGAUCUUUUACUUUGAAAAAAUUAGAGUGUUUCAAGCAGGCUUAAUGCUAUGAAUACAUUAGCAUGGAAUAAUAAUUUAGGACUUCGGUUCUAUUUUGUUGGUUUCUAGGGCUGAAGUAAUGAUUGAUAGGGACAGUUGGGGGUGCUAGUAUUCAGCGGCCAGAGGUGAAAUUCUCGGAUUCGCUGAAGACUAACUUAUGCGAAAGCAUU